AAUUAGUUUACCAUUGGGCUUAAGACAGCGGGUGAUAUCUUAAAUGGCCUUACGGUCGGCCCGCCGAGGUCCAGGAGAGUGCAUUAUGCCUUAUAUUGCAAAUAAAGCUCCUGGGUGGAAGCCCGGGAGCUUUAUCUUUUUAAAA
rfam:Acetomicrobium mobile DSM 13181 chromosome, complete genome.